rnacentral:rRNA from 1 species
UGCAAGUCGAGCGGAAACGACACUAACAAUCCUUCGGGUGCGUUAAUGGGCGUCGAGCGGCGGACGGGUGAGUAAUGCCUAGGAAAUUGCCUUGAUGUGGGGGAUAACCAUUGGAAACGAUGGCUAAUACCGCAUGAUGCCUACGGGCCAAAGAGGGGGACCUUCGGGCCUCUCGCGUCAAGAUAUGCCUAGGUGGGAUUAGCUAGUUGGUGAGGUAAUGGCUCACCAAGGCGACGAUCCCUAGCUGGUCUGAGAGGAUGAUCAGCCACACUGGAACUGAGACACGGUCCAGACUCCUACGGGAGGCAGCAGUGGGGAAUAUUGCACAAUGGGCGAAAGCCUGAUGCAGCCAUGCCGCGUGUAUGAAGAAGGCCUUCGGGUUGUAAAGUACUUUCAGUUGUGAGGAAGGGUGUGUAGUUAAUAGCUGCGCAUCUUGACGUUAGCAACAGAAGAAGCACCGGCUAACUCCGUGCCAGCAGCCGCGGUAAUACGGAGGGUGCGAGCGUUAAUCGGAAUUACUGGGCGUAAAGCGCAUGCAGGUGGUUCAUUAAGUCAGAUGUGAAAGCCCGGGGCUCAACCUCGGAACUGCAUUUGAAACUGGUGAACUAGAGUACUGUAGAGGGGGGUAGAAUUUCAGGUGUAGCGGUGAAAUGCGUAGAGAUCUGAAGGAAUACCAGUGGCGAAUGCGGCCCCCUGGACAGAUACUGACACUCAGAUGCAAAAGCGUG